GGAUAAAAUAACAGAAAACCGUAAUUUGGCCUAUUAGACCCAUGUGGCUCCAAAUGCCAUGUCAUGUGCCAAACAUGUCGAGCGAGUGACUAAAAACACAAUGCGAUGCAUCGGAAUCAAUGGGGGCAGCACAUUUCUGCUUGGCUUGAACGGCUAUAACGAACCAAGAUAGCUAGAAAUGAUGAUAACGAUUGAAAAGAAGGAGAUCAGAGGCCACCUGCGCCCAGGAUCGAUAGGCGGGGUCCUCCCGGAUUGGCUGCUACAAUGGGGGGCGGAGCUUGCUGAGGAUGCUGUGUUUGCGAGAAUCUCGGUUUCGACGAGAAUGUGAGCGGAGAACGGGUGUUUUUGCAAUUUAUACCUGAAUGCCUGGUCAUGGUGAUAGAUAAAGUUGGGAUGUAAAAGUACAGGACUAACUAGUAAUACAUAUAAAUUAUUCUUCUAGAGUAAAUUA